rnacentral:tRNA from 1 species
UAUCGUAUGGUCUAGUGGUUAGGGCAGUCGGCCAAGGGUCGGAGGACCCAGGUUCAAUUCCUGGUGCGAUAA